rnacentral:rRNA from 1 species
AACGAACGCUGGCGGCAUGCCUAACACAUGCAAGUCGAACGAGACCUUCGGGCCUAGUGGCGCACGGGUGCGUAACGCGUGGGAACCUGCCCUUAGGUUCGGAAUAACUCCCCGAAAGGGGUGCUAAUACCGGAUAAUGUCCUCGGACCAAAGAUUUAUCGCCUUUGGAUGGGCCCGCGUUGGAUUAGCUAGUUGGUAGGGUAAAUGCCUACCAAGGCGACGAUCCAUAGCUGGUCUGAGAGGAUGAUCAGCCACACUGGGACUGAGACACGGCCCAGACUCCUACGGGAGGCAGCAGUGGGGAAUAUUGGACAAUGGGCGAAAGCCUGAUCCAGCAAUGCCGCGUGAGUGAUGAAGGCCUUAGGGUUGUAAAGCUCUUUUAACCGGGAUGAUAAUGACAGUACCGGGAGAAUAAGCUCCGGCUAACUCCGUG